GUGUCAGCAGCCGCGGUAAUACGGAGGGUGCAAGCGUUAUCCGGAUUCACUGGGUUUAAAGGGUGCGUAGGCGGACAGGUAAGUCAGUGGUGAAAUCUCCGAGCUUAACUCGGAAACUGCCUUUGAUACUCUCUGUCUUGAAUAUGGUGGAGGUAAGCGGAAUAUGUCAUGUAGCGGUGAAAUGCUUAGAGAUGACAUAGAACACCUAUUGCGAAGGCAGCUUACUACGCCUAUAUUGACGCUGAGGCACGAAAGCGUGGGGAUCAAACAGGAUUAGAAACCCGAGUAGUCC
rnacentral:rRNA from 1 species